UGGCACUGGCUUGCCUUGGAGGAGAGAAGAGGCUGAGCAUUGCUACAAUACCUUGGACCCCCACAAUACAAGUGUACCCAAGACCACCUCCCUGGAUGCCUGUCCUGUGCCACACUGAAGGAAGUCCAUGGUCCUCCACCUCACAGGCACCAGGAGGGUGAAGAGCUCACCAGGAGGCCCAGAAGCAAUGUGAUUAACAGGCCCAUCACAGUGCCUGGCUCACAGUAGGCCCUUGAUUAGAGCAAAUGUUCUGAAGCUAAGCCCAUGAAUUGGCUUCUAGCACUUCAAGAAAUCCCAGUGAAAAUGAAAAAUGGUUCCUCCUGCAACAAAAUGGUUAAGAAUCCCCAGAAUGGAUUGAGGUCUUUUUCCUACUAUUGGUAUCCAAAUUAAUACAUUCUCUACAUUCUGC